rnacentral:rRNA from 1 species
AGAUUGAACGCUGGCGGCAUGCCUUACACAUGCAAGUCGAACGGCAGCACGGGAGCAAUCCUGGUGGCGAGUGGCGAACGGGUGAGUAAUAUAUCGGAACGUGCCCAGUCGUGGGGGAUAACGCAGCGAAAGCUGUGCUAAUACCGCAUACGAUCUAUGGAUGAAAGCGGGGGAUCGCAAGACCUCGCGCGAUUGGAGCGGCCGAUAUCACGAUUAGGUAGUUGGUGGGGUAAAGGCCUACCAAGCCUGCGAUCUGUAGCUGGUCUGAGAGGACGACCAGCCACACUGGAACUGAGACACGGUCCAGACU